rnacentral:rRNA from 1 species
GACGAACGCUGGCGGCGUGCUUAACACAUGCAAGUCGAACGGAAGGGCCCUACGUUUGUGGGGUUCUCGAUUGGCGAACGCGUGAGUAACACGUGUGUAUCCUGCCCUUGACUUUGGGGUAACUUCACGAAACUGGGGCUAAUAUCGUAUAGGAUAUCCUGCUCCAUGGUGGGGAUUGGAAAGUUUCGGCGGUUGGGGAUGGACUGGCGGCUUAUCAGCUUGUUGGUGGGGUAGUGGCUUACCAAGCAUUUGACGGGUAGGCGGCCUGUGAGGGUGACCGGCGACAUUGCGACUGCGAUACGCACCAGUCUGCAAUGGGAGGCAGUGGGCGGAAGCAUGGCACAAUGGGCGGACGCGUGAUGCAGCAGCCCCGCGUGCGUAAUGACGUCUUUUGGGGUGUGAACCGCUGUCGCCUGAGACGAAGCGUGAGUGACGGUAAUGGAUAAAGAAGCACCGGCUAACUACGUG